rnacentral:tRNA from 1 species
GCCGCUGUGGUCUAGUUGGUUAUGAUACGAGUCUCAUAAUCUUGUGGCCGGGAGUUCGAUCCUCCCCGGUGGCA